GAUGAACGCUGGCGGCGUGCCUAUUACAUGCAAGUCGAGCGAACGGACGAGAAGCUUGCUUCUCUGAUGUUAGCGGCGGACGGGUGAGUAACACGUGGAUAACCUACCUAUAAGACUGGGAUAACUUCGGGAAACCGGAGCUAAUACCGGAUGAUAUUUUGAACCGCAUGGUUCAAAAGUGAAAGACGGUCUUGCUGUCACUUAUAGAUGGAUCCGCGCUGCAUUAGCUAGUUGGUAAGGUAACGGCUUACCAAGGCAACGAUGCAUAGCCGACCUGAGAGGGUGAUCGGCCACACUGGAACUGAGACACGGUCCAGACUCCUACGGGAGGCAGCAGUAGGGAAUCUUCCGCAAAGGGCGAAAGCCUGACGGAGCAACGCCGCGUGAGUGAUGAAGGUCUUCGGAUCGUAAAACUCUGUUAUUAGGGAAGAACAUAUGUGUAAGUAACUGUGCACAUCUUGACGGUACCUAAUCAGAAAGCCACGGCUAACUACGUG
rnacentral:rRNA from 1 species